AUAUACUAAUAAUACAUCACGUUUUAUUUAUCUCAUUAUCACUAUCACUAUCAUUGUUUUUUUUUUUUUUUCUUUUUUUUCCUUUUGCCAGAUUAUGUGUGGAGUAAGUAUAGUUAAAGGCUAUGGUAACACAAAGAAAUUCAACAUUUCUGCUUUUAAUAACUAUUCUGAUAAUGAGGGUCAUUAGUUUUAAAUUUAUAAUGAAUAAGCUACACUUGUGUGCGAGUACUUUUUUGGGAGACCGUAUUAAUAUAUAAUAUCUAGUAUUUCAACACGAUCGACAAAAAAAAAAAAAAAAAAAAAAAAAAAAUAGAAAAAAAGCAAAAAAGCAAAAAAGCAAAAAAGCAAAAAAGCAAAAAAGAAAGAAAAAUAGCUAACAAGGGUAACGCAAGAAAAUAAAAUAUGCAUUUUUUUUUUUUUUUUUAAUUUGUGUGAAAUAAUUUUUGGAAAUGAUUUAGUCGCAUAUAUAUUUUAUUGUAUAAUAUUUUGUUUAUUAUUUAUUAUUUAUUUUACUAGUUAUUUGGUUUUAUUUAUUUUUUUUUUUUUCGCUUUUAUUUUCAUAAAAACAGUUUUUACUUAAUUCUUUUAAGACAUUCAAAAUUAUUAAAAAUAGUUAAACAAAUAAAUGAGCAAAUAACUAAAAUAAAUACCGUUUGUAUAUGGUUUUUUUAUUUUUUUUUUUAAUUUGUGUACACAUUUAUUUAAGCCUCGUUUCUAGAGCCUUAUUUUAUAUGAUAUAUUUGCAACUUUAUUUGAUUUUUCUUACUUUAAAUUUAUGUAAAAAAAAAAAAAAAAAAGGAAGUAGAAGACGAAAUAAAUAAGAUAUUAAAAAAAUUAAAAAGAAAAAAAAAAAAAGAAAACUUUUUUUGUAAUGAUAAAAACAAACCAAAUUUAAUUGAUAACAUGUUAAAAGAAUAUGAUGUAGAAAAUUCUGAUGAUUUAUUAUACACAGUUCAAGAUAUUAUGUCUAAUAAUUAUAAACUAGGUGAUAAUAAAAAUAACUUACAAUUUUAUAAAAAUGUUUAUAACGAUUUUGAAAGUGAUAUAAAUUAUUUUUUUGAUGAGUAUGUUAACAACAUAAUCAACUCAUCUUUUAAUAAUAAAAAAAGUUUUAUAAAAAAAGAAGAAACGUUUGAUAUCCACUCAAAUAUCAUUCAUAAGCAGCUGAACUACAAUGUAAUGCAUGGACAAAUAUUGAGGAACUUGGAGCGUACAGAGAAGUAUUUCAAACCUAUGUUAAUGGCUGGUGAAAACUAUUAUUCAGACAGCUCCACGUGCUCGAAUGACCAGGAACAAAAGAAAAAAAAAUAUUUAAAGGAUAUCACAAAUAGUAUAAAAUUAUGUAACUAGAUGAAAAAUUUGGACUAAAAAAAAAAAAAAAAAAAAAAAAUCAAGUGUAAUGUUACCACUGCUAUCGUUUUUUUUCACCAACGUGUAAUCUUUUUACAUAAGUUCAUUACUGAACGGGAU
rnacentral:lncRNA from 1 species